rnacentral:rRNA from 1 species
AUUGAACGCUGGCGGCAGGCUUAACACAUGCAAGUCGAGCGGGGGAAGGUAGCUUGCUACUGGACCUAGCGGCGGACGGGUGAGUAAUGCUUAGGAAUCUGCCUAUUAGUGGGGGACAACAUCUCGAAAGGGAUGCUAAUACCGCAUACGUCCUACGGGAGAAAGCAGGGGAUCUUCGGACCUUGCGCUAAUAGAUGAGCCUAAGUCGGAUUAGCUAGUUGGUGGGGUAAAGGCCUACCGAGGCGACGAUCUGUAGCGGGUCUGAGAGGAUGAUCCGCCACACUGGGACUGAGACACGGCCCAGACUCCUACGGGAGGCAGCAGUGGGGAAUAUUGGACAAUGGGGGGAACCCUGAUCCAGCCAUGCCGCGUGUGUGAAGAAGGCCUUAUGGUUGUAAAGCACUUUAAGCGAGGAGGAGGCUACUCUAGUUAAUACCUAGGGAUAGUGGACGUUACUCGCAGAAUAAGCACCGGCUAACUCUGUGCCAGCAGCCGCAUAA